CUCACGGAGGGAAACAGAGAAAAACUCAAGCGAAAAACUGUUACUGUUCCGCGCAACGAGCCAAACUGUGGAAUUCUUAGACCGGACUUCAGAGGCAGAAUAUCUUUUGACUACGUCGAUGAUCCAGAGGAGGACAACUCGCUUUCGAAA